UCAGGAUGAACGCUGGCGGCGUGCGUAAUACAUGCAAGUCGAACGCACAGCGAAAGGUGCUUGCACCUUUCAAGUGAGUGGCGAACGGGUGAGUAACACGUGGACAACCUGCCUCAAGGCUGGGGAUAACAUUUGGAAACAGAUGCUAAUACCGAAUAAAACUUAGUGUCGCAUGACACAAAGUUAAAAGGCGCUUUGGCGUCACCUAGAGAUGGAUCCGCGGUGCAUUAGUUAGUUGGUGGGGUAAAGGCCUACCAAGACAAUGAUGCAUAGCCGAGUUGAGAGACUGAUCGGCCACAUUGGGACUGAGACACGGCCCAAACUCCUACGGGAGGCUGCAGUAGGGAAUCUUCCACAAUGGGCGAAAGCCUGAUGGAGCAACGCCGCGUGUGUGAUGAAGGCUUUCGGGUCGUAAAGCACUGUUGUAUGGGAAGAACAGCUAGAAUAGGGAAUGAUUUUAGUUUGACGGUACCAUACCAGAAAGGGACGGCUAAAUACGUGCCAGCAGCCGCGGUAAUACGUAUGUCCCGAGCGUUAUCCGGAUUUAUUGGGCGUAAAGCGAGCGCAGACGGUUGAUUAAGUCUGAUGUGAAAGCCCGGAGCUCAACUCCGGAAUGGCAUUGGAAACUGGUUAACUUGAGUGCAGUAGAGGUAAGUGGAACUCCAUGUGUAGCGGUGGAAUGCGUAGAUAUAUGGAAGAACACCAGUGGCGAAGGCGGCUUACUGGACUGUAACUGACGUUGAGGCUCGAAAGUGUGGGUAGCAAACAGGAUUA
rnacentral:rRNA from 1 species